UCAGCAACUGAUAUUUACUAGUUGUGUAGUGCAUUUAUGUGUACAAAAAAAUAACUGUAGGCAUCAACAGUUCAUUGAAAACCAAUUUUUUUUAAGAAAAUGGGAAAAAAAAUAUUAAAAAUAACUAAACCUGCCCAAUUCGAGAGGUUGAUUGAGGUUCUGCAGCAGAAACCUGAGCUGGCCAGAGGCAAGGGACAAUUCGGUUCCACAAAAAGAACCCAAGACGAAGAAUGGGAAAAUAUAGCUGUUCAACUGAAUAGCAUUGGACCACCAUCAAGACCACCAUAUUUUGGUGCUAUGAUUCGAACAUGAGUUCCAUCGAUGCAUCCUAUUACUCCAGGAAAUCUGGUUUUCUCGUAAAAAUUAAUUUUUGAUAAAUUCAUCUCAUCAUUUGUCAAACGAGCCUUAAUGCAUUGUGGACAGAUACGUUCUUCUACUACGUCUAGCACUUUUUUUACCACUACCGAAACUAUUGGCUGAGCAAGGCCUAAAUUAAAAUCAUUAUCACUGCACUUUUGGUAACUUCCUUCUGCCAUGAAACGUAGGGCAGUGCAGAGUUUGAGAAUUGGUGGGAUUGCGGAGGAACGCUGUGGUUGUUUCAAAUGAUCUUUGAUUUCAUUUAGCACAUAAACAAAUGCGUCUUUGUUGAGUCUAAAAUAACUUAUAAAUCUGAAACAAAACAAAGACAUUAAAAUCAACACUCAUCAAAGAAUUCGUUUAUAAAUAAUACUUUUUGUUUGGAAGUUCCAAUGGAUUGGAGUGAUCUCGAAUAUUUUUUCUCAUCAGCGCAACAUUCAGGGGAUUUUCUUCUUCCGAAUUUCCAAGAAACAAA